UUGGAGGGCAAGUCUGGUGCCAGCAGCCGCGGUAAUUCCAGCUCCAAUAGCGUAUAUUAAAGUUGUUGCAGUUAAAAAGCUCGUAGUUGAAUUUCGGGAUCAGAUUGUCGGUCGUGCCUCGGUACGCACUGGUAUUAUUGGUUCCUACCUUCUGAAGAACCGCGAUGUCAUUAAUUUGGUGUCGUGGGGAAUCAGGACUGUUACUUUGAAAAAAUUAGAGUGUUUAAAGCAGGCUUACGCUUGAAUACAUUAGCAUGGAAUAAUGAAAUAGGACGUUUGAUUCUAUUUUGUUGGUUUCUAGGAUUGACGUAAUGAUUAAUAGGGAUAGUUGGGGGCAUUAGUAUUCAAUUGUCAGAGGUGAAAUUCUUGGAUUUAUUGAAGACUAACUACUGCGAAAGCAUUUGCCAAGGAUGUUUUCAUUAAUCAAGAACGAAAGUUAGGGGAUCGAAGACGAUCAGAUACCGUCGUAGUCUUAACCAUAAACUAUGCCGACUAGGGAUCGGAUGAUGUUAAUUUUUUAAUAACUCAUUCGGCGCCUUACGGGAAACCAAAGUGUUUGGGUUC
rnacentral:rRNA from 1 species